GGACCGGUUACUAAAGAGUGUCAGGUUGAUGGAGGCACCACAGCCAGAUAAGGGUUGGACCAAGCAUCAGGCCAGAAUUCUACAUGAGUCGGCAUCAUUUGACAACAUUUCCAAAAAAUGGAAAAGGGCAUGCUACACUUCUGACAUCUCAGAAUCUGAAAAUUCUAUAAAAAGAAUUCACAAAAAGAAAACAUUCUCAUCAGAUGAUGAGCUUCAUGAAACCCCCAACAAAAAAGUUAAAAUGAAUAGAGACAAAAAUCCACCUACA